rnacentral:rRNA from 1 species
UACGUAGGGUGCGAGCGUUGUCCGGAAUUACUGGGCGUAAAGAGCUCGUAGGUGGUUUGUCGCGUUGUUCGUGAAAACUCACAGCUUAACUGUGGGCGUGCGGGCGAUACGGGCAGACUGGAGUACUGCAGGGGAGACUGGAAUUCCUGGUGUAGCGGUGAAAUGCGCAGAUAUCAGGAGGAACACCGAUGGCGAAGGCAGGUCUCUGGGCAUUAACUGACGCUGAGGAGCGAAAGCAUGGGGGAGCGAACAGG